GAUGAACGCUGGCGGCGUGCCUAAUACAUGCAAGUCGAGCGAACAGACGAGGAGCUUGCUCCUCUGACGUUAGCCGCGGACGGGUGAGUAACACGUGGAUAACCUACCUAUAAGACUGGGAUAACUUCGGGAAACCGGAGCUAAUACCGGAUAAUAUAUUGAACCGCAUGGUUCAAUAGUGAAAUACGGUUUUGCUGUCACUUAUAGAUGGAUCCGCGCCGCAUUAGCUAGUUGUUAAGGUAACGGCUUACCAAGGCGACCAUGCGUAGCCGACCUGAGAGGGUGAUCGGCCACACUGGAACUGAGACACGGUCCAGACUCCUACGGGAGGCAGCAGUAGGGAAUCUUACGCAAUGGGCGAAAGCUUGACGGAGCAACGCCGCGUGAGUGAUGAAGGUCUUCGGAUCGUAAAACUCUGUUAUUAGGGAAGAACAAAUGUGUAAGUAACUGUGCACGUCUUGACGGUACCUAAUCAGAAAGCAACGGCUAACUACGUG
rnacentral:rRNA from 1 species